rnacentral:rRNA from 1 species
GACAGAGGUGCCGAACGUUGUUCGGAAUCACUGGGCUUAAAGGGUGCGUAGGCGGGCGCGUCAGUCAGGGGUGAAAUCCCACGGCCCAACCGUGGAAGUGCCUCUGAUACUGCGGGCCUGGAGGGGGAUAGGGGCGUGCGGAACUUCCGGUGGAGCGGUGAAAUGCGUAGAUAUCGGAAGGAACACCGGUGGCGAAAGCGGCGCGCUGGAUCCCUACUGACGCUGAGGCACGAAAGCCAGGGGAGCAAACGGG